UCGGGAAUAUUGCACAAUGGAGGAAACUCUGAUGCAGUGACACCGCGUAUAGGAAGAAGGUUUUCGGAUUGUAAACUAUUUUAGACAGGGAAGAAAAAAGACAGUACCUGUAGAAUAAGCUCCGGCUAACUACGUGCCAGCAGCCGCGGUAAUACGUAGGGAGCAAGCGUUAUCCGGAAUUAUUGGGUGUAAAGGGUGCGUAGACGGGACAGCAAGUUAGUUGUGAAAGCCCUCGGCUUAACUGAGGAACUGCAACUAAAACUAUUGUUCUUGAGUGCAGGAGAGGAAAGCGGAAUUCCUAGUGUAGCGGUGAAAUGCGUAGAUAUUAGGAGGAACACCAGUGGCGAAGGCGGCUUUCUGGACUGUAACUGACGUUGAGGCACGAAAGUGUGGGGAGCAAACAGG
rnacentral:rRNA from 1 species